AACCCCACACAGAAACACCUGUCGCUGAGGCUGGGGGGUUGGGGGGGGGUGGGAACAGGCCUGGGCAGGUGGCUUCGUCUUCUGUGCCGGAGUCUCUUGAUCUCUAACCGUGGGGCUGAAGCCUCCCAUCACGCAGAGCUGGCAGGAGGGUUACGUAAGCAAGAGCGUGAAGGGCCCUGCAGGUGCCCAGCAGAAAGACCUCAGAACAGCAACCAACUGGCUUGGAAAGGUGGUGGGAGAUCAACACACCAGACCUUGGGGGAUGCCCGCCAGGGUCCCCACAGCCGCCUGGAGACUGGCCCCGCCCUGCCCUGCCCUGCCUAGAGGUGGCGUGCGACACAACGUACAAAAGUAGCCGGACAGCACCUCCUCCAGGAAGCCUUCCUGCAUUCCCCAGGCUCUCAUGACCGCCCUGGGUUCCCCCUCUCCCAGUUACUGCUGUAGCUGCCUGUCCUUGAGGUCUCUCCCACUAGAUCUUGAGUCCCUCCACCCAGGCGGUGACCCCGGGACCAGCACAGAGCCAGGCCUGGAAGUCUGGUGGACAAAAUAAAACCGGAAAAUUCAACCUGUCAAGAAGAUUCUCCUCAUCAGACAUCAGGUGUCUCGGAAAGAGCUCAAGCAUCCCUUGGUGGCUGCUGUCAGCUCGCAUGGAAGGGACACCCCCUGCAGCCUAGCCCUUGGCCAAGGGUUCCUGGUCACUGGGGCUUUGAAGGCAGGAAGUGAGGGCUCCUGUCAGCCAGGCCCGUCCAGGCCCCCGGGGGGCAGGCCUCUCCUGCCUGUGGGGACAGCCAGUGCCCCGGGCACUGUGCUGAAGACUGCCUGCCCCAUUCCAGUUCAUUCUCACCACCGCCACCCACGGGGGAGCCUCCCCCUGCUCCCCAUUUCACAGCAGGGAAACUGAGGCACGGCAGGAAGUACCUCGGCCAAAGUGACUGCACUGCGGAAUGGCUGAGCUGAGAUUUGAACCCAGGCAGCCUGACUCCAAACCCUCGUUCUAGACCGGGGCACCUGACCUCCGGCUGCUGCUGGCCCUCGAGCGGCCUCCUCACAACCCCUCCUCACUGCGACCCACGGAGAGAAGCCGCAUUUCACAUUGCAGCACGCACGCAACACCCACCUGCAACAAAAGUGCGAGAAGCAAAAGUGCUCUCACUACAGGGGUGCCUUCAGUAUUUCAUUUUUUACUCUAGUCUACAGCAUCACAGUUUUUUUAGUAGCUGGUUGUGCACAUGACCCAUGGUAGAUGGAUCACUUGGUCUGGCGGCCAGGCCUUGCUGGGGCAUUGGACACCGCCCCCGCCCCCUCCGAGGGGCAGGGCAGUGGCGCCUGUGCCCUCCGGCGACCUAGUCAGCCGCCGGUCCUGCUGUACUAGGGCAUUCUCUUCCCCUCCCACCGCGGCCAGUUCCACGAGCACCGCCUGUGGCUGGUGGUCUCAUUCACGGCUGGCCCUCCUGUGCCUGGCACACGACAAGUGCCCACGGCUGUCAGCUAAAAGAAUGAAGGGGCACACUCGGAAAAAUGCAGGGCCACCCCAGCCCGGGCAUGUGGCACUGAAGUGGAGAUCAGGGUGACCUUAGGGUGACCACAGAAGACCCCAAAGGCAGACAGAAAAAGAUGACCUUCGAGGGGCGAGGCACACAUCCAAUUGAACUUGACUUCGGAUACCACCUCCUCCAGGAAGCCUUCCCCUCCUGCCAUGGCCCCAGAGCUUCCUCCUUUCCUGCCAGGGGAGAGGAAGAGUGAAGGGAGCAGAGCGGGGAGCAGGAAGAGGCACAGAGGACGGACGUUGUCCCUGCUGGUUCCAGACUCUCCUCGUGCACCUUUGUCACCUGUCCCACGCACUGACAGACCCAUUCCUUCUUCCCCGAUGGGCAGGACCGCUCCCCCUUCUAGCUCCCGUCCCGUCCCAGCAUCCUCACGG